GUUUCCAUUGGAAAAUUUUAUUCGCUUGAUGUACCUGUGGAAUUUAAAUUUAAGAUUGUCGAUUUCAUGAAAACAUUUGGAGGAUUUCCCAUAGGAAUAUCAGUUGCAGAUUUCUUCUUCAUUAAAAAAAAUUUUCUGAUCAGAGUCAUUCGUGCUCUGUAUUCCAUUUUGUCAUCGAUGAUCCAAUUGAGUGGAGUAAUGGAAAGAAAGAAACGGUGUAAAUUAUACUCAUCAAAUCUUAACAGGACAGACUUUAAUUAAUUUGGUGUCAUUACAGAAAGUAUUUACUUAAUUACGAACAGACAAGCCUUCAUUUCCGUUUGUGUUAUCACUUAUCAUUGAGUAGACUGCAUAAAACUGUA